rnacentral:rRNA from 1 species
UACGUAGGUGGCAAGCGUUGUCCGGAAUUAUUGGGCGUAAAGCGUGCGCAGGCGGUUCGCUAAGACCGAUGUGAAAUCCCCGGGCUUAACCUGGGAACUGCAUUGGUGACUGGCGAGCUAGAGUGUGGCAGAGGGGGGUAGAAUUCCACGUGUAGCAGUGAAAUGCGUAGAGAUGUGGAGGAAUACCGAUGGCGAAGGCAGCCCCCUGGGCUAACACUGACGCUCAUGCACGAAAGCGUGGGGAGCAAACAGG